rnacentral:lncRNA from 10 species
GUUGGGGGACCCCAGGGAAAAUGUGGGGCUCCCAGGGCAGGCAGGAACGGGCAGCAAGGGGAGACCAGAGCCGAGUGUCCUGUGGAGGAGAGGGGACGGGGAGAAAGCACAGCCUUGCUGCCACCGCCUGCCCAGGGGGUGGGGGCAGGUGAGCGCCAUCUUCACUCAAUCCUCGCUCCCCAUGAGGCCCGCUCAGGGCACAGAGCCUGCCGUGACCCCCAUAGGGGGCUGUCAUGACGGUGAGCUCUGCUCAGCCUGAGACGUGACUAAUUAUCUGCUGAAUGAGCCACCCCGUUUUCGAGGAAAUUAGGUUUUAAAAAUAGUCGGGGGAGGAAAGGCGAGCCGCGCUGCGGAGCCGGGAGGUGGCCCCUCUGAGCAGUUUCCGCUGGCCAGGCCCGAGGCGGGGGCUCUGCCGCUGGGGCCCCUCUCUCCUGGCCCCAUCACAGGACGUGGUGGCGACCCGGGCCUGCGGUGCACGGCUCUGAUCGCUGGCUGCACGGUGACCUCAUCGGCCACCCCACCUCCCUGUGUGCCCAGGGCUUCUCUCUGAGCCUCAGUCUCUCUCUAUAAAGUGCGGCUGAAGCCAGCUCGAGCCCUAGAGGCACUGCCAUUCUCCACGGGGCCACAUGGCCGCCUCUGCACCCAGCUGUUCCCUGGCCUGCGCCUGGUCUCCGCCCUGGCCCUGCCAGUGCUCCCUGGACACUGUGUCCCACACCAGCCACCUUUGCCACCCCACUGACACCGCCCCAUCCUGCAGACCAGCCUGGUCCCUCCUGCUGAGCCUGGGGGCUCCCUCAGGACGGGGCCUGCCCUGGGCUGACAGCAUGGGCGUGUUUGUUGACUGACCCAUGGACUGACAGAUACCCGUUCCUCUUUUCUCUGCACAACAGGCCUCCGCCAGAGCUUCCUCUCCACAUCUGUCUGACAUGGACACUGAGGCAGGGAAUGACUAAACUGGGGGAGGAGGCAGAUUGUCAGGCUGGCUCUGCAGUGAGACCCAAAACCUGGCUUGAACAUCACCCCUCAGAGGCCUCCUCCAGCCAACCUGCACCAAACGAUCCCCUCCUCACUGCCCGGCACACGGCACCACCUGAUACAUGGCUGUUGUCAUCCCCACAACAGGGGUCCCAGGCCUGCUCUGUCACCUGCUCACAGACUCUGGCAAAGCUCUGAGGGCAGCAAGGGAAGGCCAGUGAGAAAGGGGCGGCAGUGGGACCCAGGUGUGUCAGAGUAGCACAGGGGGCCUGCACCCCUGGGUGGGGCCGCUGCCCAGAGGGCAACUGCUGGGCACCCCAGGACAGGUGCAGGCUCGCCGUGACACAGCAACCCGGGUGUGUGAGGACGGCCCAGGCACGGGGUCCUGCGAUCCCACAAGCAGGAAGCAACCCCGGGCCAGAGCUCACGGUCACCUCCCUCAUUCGCUGGAACAACCCAUCCUCUGGCCUCCCGCCGUGCAGGCCUCCGACCAUGGGGACCACAGGCCCCUCUGAGGACCUGCCAGGACGGCCAGGCUGGGCAGCGGCACUCCACGACACAGGCUGGGGUGGGGACCCGGAGGCGGCAGGGCCGACCCUCAGCUCUGGUGAGGCUCAGACCAGGACCCGGCGGACAAGGGUAGGCCGUGCAAGAAUCUUCUCCUGCUAAACUGCAGAAAGGCCUUCUGUGGCUGUCCACAGAUGGCUGCGACGCUUGGCAGUAGUGUGACUUGCUCUGACCAACAGAAUGUGAUGCAAGGGAUGGUGUGGGCGUGAGGAAGGCUGGCACUUCUCACUGUGCCUCUGGGAACCUGGGCCACGACACUCAGAGGCCAGCUCCCUGCAAAAAGACCGGGCGGCCCCAGCUGUUCCUGCCAUCCUGGCUGAGGGUUGGACAGGCAAGUGUAGGACGAGCUUGAAUUUCCUGCCACUGCCGACCACAGCCAUGGAACUAACCCCAGGUAUGACCUACAGAAGAACCACCCAACUGAACCCAACCCAAAUAACAGAAUCGCAAGCAAAUACACAGUUGUUUGAAGCUUCUGUCUGGGGGUGGUUUGUUAUACAAUAGCUGACUGAAACAGAUCUCGGCUCACUACAACCUCUGCCUCUUGGGUUUAAGUGAUUCUCCUGUCUCAGCCUCCCCCGAGUAGCUGCAGAUCUUGGCUCACUACAGCCUCCGCCACUCGGGUUCAAGCGAUUCUCCUGCCUCAGCCUCCCCCGAGUAGCUGCAGAUCUCGGCUCACUACAGCCUCCGCCUCCCGGGUUCAAGCGAUUCUCCUGCCUCAGCCUCCCCCGAGUAGCUGCAGAUCUCGGCUCACUACAGCCUCCGCCUCCCGGGUUCAAGCGAUUCUCCUGCCUCAGCCUCCCCCGAGUAGCUGGGACUACAGGCACGCACCACCAUGCCCAGCUUUUUUGUAUUUUUAGUAGAGAUGGGGUUUCACCGUGUUACCCAGGAUGGUCUCAAUCUCUUGACCUCGUGAUCUGCCCGCCUUGGCCUCCCAGCGUGCUGCGAUGACAGACAUGAGCCACCGUGCCCGGCCUAUCUGUGGACUUCUUUGGAACAGGAGGAGUUACAGUUUUUAAUUCCUUUGUCUUACUUGGACUUCUUACAUUCAAAGAAGCAUUAAUAAUCUGUACAUGGAUUAUUCAGCCAUGAAAAGGAGUGAGGCUCUGACGCAGGCCACAGCACGGAUGCACCUUGAAGACGUCACACUCAGUGAGAGAUACCAGACACAAGAGGCCAUGCAGUGUGUGACCCCAUUUCUAUGAAAUGUCCAGGACAGGCUGAUCCAGAGAGACAGGGAGGGGAUGCAUGGGUGCUGGGGCUGGGGAGGGAUGGAGAGUGACAGCCGCCAGGCGCAGGGUUUGCUUUCGGGGUGAUGGAAAUGUACUAGAAUUAGUGGCAGUGACUGAACAACUCUGUGAAUACGCCGAGAAGAAUUUACUCAGUUGCAAUAAGUAAGCAGUAAGACACUUUCAAAGAGUGAAUUUUGUGUCCCAGAAAAGCAAAAUGAAGAUGCAGAUCCCUUUAGUUGCAAAAGCAUUGCCCAGUGACAUACACCAUCUGGAACCUUCUCCAAACUCGGUCAUCCCCCAGGGCCUCAGUUUGCUUGUCUCUAAAGGAGGUUGGGGGACUUGGUCAAGGCUUGACCAGAAGGGCAGCCAGUCUGCUGCAGGCUGGAGCUUCUCACACUGUCUGUGCUGUAGAACUGAGUUCAACCUUUCUUUUCUCUCCAUCAUGGACCAAGGCUUUUGUGAAACGCAGUAAACAGCAACUACCGAGGUCUGAAAGGCUGGUGCCGACCCUCAGCUUCUGCUCCUCUCUGGUAUGGACCGGGAUGGACAGUCUCGUCCAUGGUGACAUCAAACGGCCCUGCCUCAGGCCUCUUCUCUCUUGAUAUGAGUGUACCCACAUGCAAACGGCUUGGGGGCCUCCAGGCACCCCCCAAAGCCCAUGCAAACCAGGAUCUCCCCCCUCAGCACUUAGGGCUGGAUUGUUCUCUGGGCUGGUCACUGGGGCCGUCCUGGGCACUGCAGGGUGCCGAGCAGCAUCCCUGGCCUCCACCCACUCCAUGCCAGGGGCACCCCCCAGCUGUAACAACCACAGAUGUCUCCAGACAUGGCCCCGUGUCCCCAGGGGGGCAGGAUGACCCCAGGUGAUGCCCCGCUUCAGUAGCCCCUGAGGUUAAACCCUUGGGUGAGAUGUUCAACACGGCUGCAACAGCAAAUAUCUGCACCAGGUGCCGACCAAGCUCUCCCCACACAGGAUCCCACCCAGCCUGACCAGGCAGCCACUCCUCACGGCUUCAUUUGACACAUGGGGAAACCGAGGCUGGGAGAGGUGGAAGGAUUCUGACACCGCUGGGGAGAACCCAUGUGGCCAGGCCUCCCGCGUGACCGUCUCUAACCCAUACAGGCCUGGCAUGGUAGGCAAUGGGGUCCCUGUUUGGGGACAGGCAGCACCCGACUGAUGGUCCCCACCGGGAAGUGAUGAGAGAUGUGAACUCAGGUACCUGCCCGGCCCUGCAGCCCCAAGCCCAGCGAGUCGCCGUAAACUGUCACCCGGUACAUCCGCGGUCCCCGGCACCCACCACUCCCAGCACACCCUGGUGAGUGGCCCGCCCGGGCUUGGUUCUGAGCCCUGCGGUGUUUGGGUUCGGUCAACUCUAGAAAUCACAAUGUUUUGGAGAAAAACCUGGGUUUCUCGAAAAACAGGCAGAUCUAGAAAUAAAAGGCUGCACCAUCACUCGGCCCCCCGCCUGGCACACUCGCCUCUGCCUUCGCCCCCCACGGCCCACUCCCCGACGGCGCGUGGCCAGGAGGCGCCUGUGAGCACCUGAUCCAGCUGCCACCUAAUUCAUGAUCACCGUUUGACAGGCCGGGAAAUGGGGAUUUGGGGAAAUUUAGGAAGUUACCCAAAGUCAACGGUGAAAAACGCUGUGAUCCCAUCUCCGAAUCCAGAAAAACCUUCAACGAAAUUCAACAUGAAUUUCACGUCCCCCCAAAAUACUACCAAGAAAGAAAAAAAGGAGAGAAAGGGAGACUGCUUUUACUUUAAAAAGAAAUAUAAGACCAGGCGAGGUGGCUCUAGCACUUUGGGAGGCUGAGGCAGGAGGACGGCUUGAGCCCAGAAGUUUGAGACUUGCCUGGGCAACAUCGUGAGACCCCCAUCUCUACAAAAAAAUUUAAAUAUUAGCCAGGAGUGGUGGUGCACACCUGUAUUUCUAGCUACUUGGGAGGCUGAGGCGGGAGGAUCACUUGAACCCAGAAGUUUGAGGCUGCAGUGAGCUAUGACUGCACCACUGCACUCUAGCCUGGGCAACAGAGCAAGAUCCUGUCUUAAAAUUAAAAUAAAAUAAAAUAAAAUAUAAAAUGAAAGAAGUAUAAAGCAAAAAGUUAUGGGAAAUGCCUUAAUGUCAACCACAAGACCAGGGGUGUGGCUGUGAGAGCCGCCACUGCAGCGGAAGUGCUGGCUGGAGCAAUAAGACUAGAAAAAGAGAAAGGAAUGAAGACUGAAAAGAAAAAGAGAAAGUUUUAGGCCAGGCUUUACGGUGGCUCACGCCUGUCAUCCCAGCACUUUGGGAGGCCGAGGCAGGCGGGUCACUUGAGCCCAGGAGUUAGAGACCAGCCUGGCCAACAUGGUGAAACCCCGUCUCUACUGAAAAUACAAAAAUUAGGCGGGUG